rnacentral:rRNA from 1 species
UACGGGGGAGCAAGCGUUAUCCGGAAUGAUUGGGCGUAAAGGGUCCGCAGGUGGCAGUGUAAGUCUGCUGUCAAAGAAUGAGGCUUAACCUCAUCAAGGCAGUGGAAACUACACAGCUAGAGUACGGUCGGGGUAGAAGGAAUUCCUGGUGUAGCGGUGAAAUGACGUAGAGAUCAGGAAGAACACCGGUGGCGAAAGCGUUCUGCUAGACCUGUACUGACACUGAGGGACGAAAGCUAGGGGAGCGAAUGGG